GAUCAAGUCGAGAGUGUCGAUCGA
rnacentral:siRNA from 1 species